UCCCCUAGUAACUGCGAGUGAAGCGGGAAAAGCUCAAAUUUAAAAUCUGGCGGUCUUCUGGCCGUCCGAGUUGUAGUCUGGAGAAGCGUUUUCCGUGCUGGACCGUGUGCAAGUCUCCUGGAACGGAGCGUCGUAGAGGGUGAGAAUCCCGUCUUUGACACGGACCCCCAGUGCCCUGUGAUGCGCUCUCGAAGAGUCGAGUUGUUUGGGAAUGCAGCUCAAAAUGGGUGGUGAAUUCCAUCUAAAGCUAAAUAUUGGCGAGAGACCGAUAGCGAACAAGUACCGUGAGGGAAAGAUGAAAAGCACUUUGGAAAGAGAGUUAAACAGUACGUGAAAUUGUUGAAAGGGAAACACUUGAAGUCAGUCGCGUCGACCGAGACUCAGCCUCGCCCUCUGGCCUGGUGUACUUCUCGGUGGACGGGCCAGCAUCGAUUUUGAUCGUCGGACAAGGGUGAGAGGAAGGUGGCACCUUCGGGUGUGUUAUAGCCUCUCGUCGUAUACGGCGGUUGGGAUCGAGGACCACGGCACGCCUUUAUGGUCGGGGUUCGCCCACGUUCGUGCUUAGGAUGCUGGCGUAAUGGCUUUAAAUGACCCGUCUUGAAACACGGACCAAGGAGUCUAACGUGCCCGCGAGUGUUCGGGUGGAAAACCCGUGCGCGCAAUGAAAGUGAAAGUUGGGACCUCCGUCGUGGAGGGCACCGACGCCCGGACCAGACCUUCUGUGACGGAUCUGCGGUAGAGCGUGUAUGUUGGGACCCGAAAGAUGGUGAACUAUGCCUGAAUAGGGUGAAGCCAGAGGAAACUCUGGUGGAGGCUCGUAGCGAUUCUGACGUGCAAAUCGAUCGUCAAAUU
rnacentral:rRNA from 1 species